GAAGCUAUUUCUUGGCGGUUUGGAAAAUAUUACCAGUCGUUAUAGUUUUCAUCUUCAUUGGUACGAAUCUGUUAAUUCAUGUCUAUACAGUUUCCAUUCUUCGAUCGGUCCACCCAUGCUCUCUUUUGUCAGAAAGUCCAAUAUGCAUAUGUAGACUGGCUUGAUUGGUAAAUUGGUCAGCAUCUAUAAUAAAGUUUUCUUGCUGAUCUUGUUGUUUCAGAAUAUACAAUCCUAGCCAAACAUUUUUUUUAUUACGUAAAUUUGUUGAUAUUGAGUAGUUAUAAAUAAGUUUUACUCCAUCUAAAUAUCUUUUAUGUCAUUAAUAUAUCACAACAAUGUCCCAGCUGUGUAUUGUACUACUUUAUUAUAAUUUCAUUUUAAUUUUUCAAAUUAAAAAGUGGAUAUAUCUGAUAACAUGUCUAAAGUGAUGAUUUUUCCGUGUUUAGUGAUAUCACUAUGGAAGGAUUCUUCUUUAUGUUGAAUUUCCACAGUGCUGCUUUAAUAAAUAGUGAUAUCACUUUGGAAGAAUUCUCUUUAUGUUGAAUUUCCACCUGCUGCUUUAAUAAAUCAUUAAUAGUAAUCAUAAAUUGAUAAGUAUUACAAGGCUUGGUAAUGUUGAUUAUGUUCUAGGAGAAAUGAUCCUCUGAUAUCACCGGUGCCUUCAAUUUUGUGUGGAAAAAUUCUAUGGAUUUCCAUUUGGCCUCAAAGACGGAAAAAGCAUGUCUCAUGGUACUCAUACUUUUAACCUUAUUGGCCAAUUUCUUUUGAUUUGGUGGUGAAGCUCCAGCGGAUGACCUACAUGUGAGUGACCCUGAUUUCUUAGUCCUCCAAAUCAACAUGAGCUGUAGUAUGUUUCUUGCGUCAAGGACAUAAAGAAAACAUGUGGAGAACUCUGUAUUAGGCUUUCAGAAAAGUAUUCAAUUCAAGCUCUGGAUCAGGCUCGAAGUUAAGACUGGCAUGGGAACAUUGUUAUCUUUUAGAUAUAUUGAAAUCAAUUAAUGUAAAUAUAUGAUAAAUUUGCAGUAGAUGAAUUUUGCCCUCAUAUGCUAAUCAUAUAAUUAUCUGUUCAGAUAUAAGUAUAUAACCUAUCAAUUGGCUCUGAAAUAACAUUAAGGACUCUCAAGUGUAUGUCUGUUUAGCAAAAUUAUAUCCGAUUUUGUAGCACUUAUAGAUGAUUAAAGAGAAAAGGAUUAACAAUAGAAUGGAAAAAAGCGGAUUUUGUUAACCUUGUGUUGUUUGUGUUUCUAACCUGUAUGCUAUGUUGCUAGGAAUCAGGUACACGUAUUCAAGUGUCGGACUUUUAUAUUUCUAAAAUUUCAUGCAAAUUAUAGAUAUAUUAUUAUAUAAGCGGGCUUCUAGAGAUAGUAUUUAGAACAUUAUGUAUUCGAAGGUAUGUUGGGAGAUAAGGCUAAAUUGAGGUGAUUCUGAUCUGAAUGCAACGAGCAUUUAACUGCAUGAAGAGGUCGGAUUCAGUUGUACUAAUAUGAAGAUUGUUUUCUAGUAUCUGCAAAUAGGUGAUUAGGAUAGUAAGGCUGGAUUAAGAUUCAGUAUAAACAAAGAUUGAUCAGUAUUGUUAUAUCAUAAAAUGCAACUUGAUCCGGCCUGUGCUUGUCUUAUAUUUUAUCUCCAUCCUCUACCUGGUCCAUCUUUUUCUGCUUUUCCUUUGCAGAUAUCCAAUUAUUCAAUAUUUUUUUUAUAAUAUAUUGACUAUAUUAUCAAUCAUCUUCGACUUAUCAAUCUUACCGUGGUUGUUUCAGAUCUCAAUAUUCUAAUUCAUGGCUUGGACAAGUUAUAAUCAGACCCCAUCUCCUCCUAAUUUAUGGAACGCUUUCUUGAGUUUCGGAGGUAAAAAACACAAUGUAUACAUUUGCUGAUCAUCUUUUAGCGGUUUGGUUACAAUGACUCAGUUUAAGAUGUAUUUGUUAGAGCAGUUUUGAAGAUGAUGCUGAACUGGGGGUGACUCAGAUCUGAAGGCGACAUGCAUUUGUCUGAAUCACAGGAGUCGAAUUGAAUGAUAAAUUAACCUGUUAUACUAAUAUAAAGAUUGUUUUCUAGUAUUUGCACAGAUGUUAUUAGGACAGGAAGGCUGGUACAAAACCUUGUAUAAACAAAGAUUGUUACUGUCACAUUCUUGGCUUUACUGGACUAUAAUAUGUUAGCCUUGUAGGUAUCGCCAAAUCUUUUGUAUAAUCCUUCAUCUUUUAGUUAUUAAUUUUAUCAGUUGUUGUUGCAGAUCUUCUCAUUUGAAUUCAUGGCUUCCACAAGUUAUAACCAAACCACAUCCUCCUCUGCUCCGACUUCACCUCCUACUCUAUGGGACGUUUUCUUGAGUUUCAGAGGUAAAGAUACAAGGUAUACGUUUACUGAUCAUCUAUACAAAGCCUUGCAACGCACUGGCAUUCGAACAUUUAGGGAUGAUCCUGAGCUACGCAGCGGAGAAGUAAUCUCCCGUGCAUUGCCUCAGGCUAUCCAGGAAUCUAAGACCUACAUUGUUGUCCUCUCAGAAAACUAUGCUAGUUCAUCUUGGUGCCUUGAAGAGCUUGUAGAGAUCCUCGAUUGUUACAAACGAAUGAAAAGAUUAGUUAUUCCUGUGUUCUACAACAUUGAUCCAUCCGCUGUCCGAUACCAAAUUGAGAAUUUUAGAGAAACUUUUGAAAAACAUCAAAGUCGUCAUGAUGCUGAGAAAGUAAACGUAUGGUGCCUUACACUUAACGAAGUUGCUGACUUUUCUGGAUACCAUAUAUCUGAAAACAGGUCUCAAGCUGAUAUUGUCGAUGAAGUUGUUGAUAGGGUUUUACUUGCAAUCAAUCCUAUAACUUUGGAUGUUGCCAGAUAUCCAGUUGGGUUGGUUUCUCGUGUCAAAGCCAUAUCAACACUUAUAGAAAGCGAAGGUGUCAUUAGGAUUGGCAUACAUGGUAUGGGUGGAGUUGGAAAAACGACUCUUGCUAAAGCUGUGUACAACCAAAACUAUCAACAAUUUGAGGGCAGCUGCUUCUUAGCAAACAUUAGGGAGGCUUCAAGAACAGAACAUGGCCUAGUAUGUUUACAAAAGCAACUUAUUGCUGAUGUUCUUAAACUGAACAACAUUAACAUUGGAAAUGUUGACCAAGGAAUUGAGUUGAUAAGAGCUAGAAUUUGUUCAAAAAGGGUCCUACUUGUUAUUGAUGAUUUAGAUGACCCAAAACCGCUGGAAGCUUUGGAAGGAUCAUUUUCUCCAGGGAGCAUAACCAUAAUAACAACAAGAAAUGAAGAUCUGUUGGAUUCGAUGAAAGUGCAAGCCAAAUACAAGGUGAAUGAACUGGAUGAUGAUCAGUCACGUCAACUUUUUGCUCAGCAUGCAUUUGGAAAUUAUAAAGUAUCCGACAAUUUCAAGGAAUUGUCUGAAGUUAUUCUAAAACGUGCUGGAGGGCUUCCAUUAGCUCUUGAGGUUUUUGGCUCAAACAUGUUUAACAAACCUGAGGAAGAUUGGAGAUGGUUCAUCGACAGACUGAAUUGUGCUCCCAUUGAUAAUAUUGAGAAAAAACUUGUGGUCAGCUUUGACGCUUUGAAAUCAGUUGAUCCUAUGUUGCAGAAUAUUUUCCUAGAUGUUGCUUGUUUUUACAUUGGACGGGAGAAAGAAGAGGUUGUUAAAAUAAUGGAAACUUGUUACACGUAUGUCAAUCGUAAUAUAGACAUUCUAAAGAAAAGAUGUCUCAUAACAAUUGAUGAGUUUGGGAUUUUGGGGAUGCAUGAUCUGCUUCGUGAUAUGGGCAGAGAAAUUGCACGCAACAACUCUCCUGACGAGCCUGGAAAACAUAGUAGAUUGUGGGUAUCAGAAGAUAUAGACACUGUGUUGAAAAAUUACAAGGGGACUAAAGCAAUUCAAGGUAUCAUCUCUAACAACUUUAUCUACGGCAAUGAAGUUGAGGAAGUAACAGUCAAAACAAAAUCAUUCAAAAGGAUGAGUAAAUUAAGAUUUCUGUACCUCAACAACGUGAAUCUCACUGGAAGCUUUAAACAAACAUUUGAAGAUUUGAGGUGGCUUCAUUGGGAAUGUUGUCCUCUGAAAUGUUUACCUUCCGAUUUUUACCCAGGAAAACUAGUUAUCCUUGAGAUGCCUCGUAGUAAUAUGAGAAUGAUGUGGGAGCUAAACAUGGUUCCACGAGUUUUUGACAAGUUAAAGACCUUAAACUUGUCAAACUCUCCAAAUUUAAUCACUACACCCGACUUCACCACAUUACCAUGUCUUAAAACCUUAAAUCUUGAGGGUUGUAGUAAUUUGGAAGAGGUCCACAUAUCCAUUGGAUGUUUGGUAAGUCUUGUUGGCUUGGAUUUGCGAAAUUGCUUAAAGCUAAAAAGUCUUCCAAACAGUAUAUGUAGCUUGAGAGCAUUGGAGGCUUUGACUAUAGCUGGUUGCAGUAGUCUAGAAGUAUUGCCUACAGAACUAGGGUACAUUGAAUCUCUAGAGGUGCUGAAUGCCUGGGGACUAACUGUUUCAAAAAUACCGGAUUCGAUUGGAGUUUUAAGCAAUCUUGUCGAGCUGAGAUUAUCGUACAACGAGAAUCUUGAAACUCUUCCAGAGAGCAUUUGCAACCUGAGAUCACUGGAACUUCUAGAUGUCCGUUUUUGUGAGAAGAUAGUAGAAUUGCCUGAUCGACUGGGGAAGAUUACAGGCUUAAGGCAGCUACGUGCAAGUAACGUUAGCCAGUUAAAAAUGAUUCCUGAUAUUAGUCAGCUUUCAAUGUUAACAGAACUUGAUCUUUGUGGUUGUCGUCAUUUGUUGUCCAUUGAAGAACUUCCCCCUAAUCUGAAACGGAUAGAUGCAAUAGAUUGUACGUCUUUAGUAAAAUUACCGAAUCUAUCCAAUUUGAAACAGUUGAUUACAUUGAACCUCAGCAAAUGUAGUAGUUUGACAGAGAUACUAGGCUUGGAGGAACUCACCUCUUUAAUGAUACUCAUACUGAGAGGUUGCAGCUCUUCUCUUCUGGCAUACACUUUGACAGAGCAUUUCUUUCAGAUAUUUUCUGGUUUUGGGCAUAUAAUGGAUAUCAAGAUUUCAUUAGCAGAGUAUCCGGACUGGAUUAGUCAAUCAAGUGGUUCGGUUAAGAAAAUGUCAUUCGAUUUGCCUCCUGAUGCAUCAGAUUAUUUAUUAGCUAUGAUCUUUUGCUUUGAAUGUGCGGGUACAUUUAAAAUUGAUUAUUUCAUCAAGAAUGCCACAAGCGAUUAUGUGUGGUGCAACCGUACAUAUGCUCAGAAUGACAGUGAUUCAUUGAUGCUAAUAGUACCAAGAUCAAUCUUGUCAAUCAGAGAUGCUAUUAGUAGAAUUGAAAUAGAAUCAAAGGUAGAAAUGAUUCACGGCAUGCAUCUACUAUACAAAACGGAUUUUACGAUGGUCAGCACGGAUUACAGCGACACUGUUGAUGUAGAAGAAGAAAAUAACUACCGUUAUAAACGGUUAAAAAUAUCUGGAGGGUGAACUUGAUAGUGCUGUAUUUCGUUGAAGCUAGUGAGUUGUUUCUACCUACGGCAACAACCAACAGGUGUUCAAAAAUAUAAAGACUCGAAACAUGUUGGAGUCUCCAUAUUUAACCAUAAGAUCAGACUUCACUAAUAUGCCUCUCUUGGAACUUUGAGUUUUGAUUCUGUGAAAGUUUGGAGGAGGUGCAUAUAUUGAUUGGAAGUUUAAUCAGGCUUGUAUCAAUGAACAUGAGGUUUCCUUGUAAUCUAAGAAGUCUUCUCGACAGCAUUUGUAGAUGGAGGGCACCCGGAAGUUCUUUCUCUUAAGGAUGAACUGCAAGCAUUGCCUACAGAAUUGGGACGUCUCAGUAAUCUUGUUGUGUUGAAUUUUAGUAAAAACAGGAACCUUGAAACUCUUCCCGACAGCAUUUGCAACCUAAAAUCACUGGAAAUUCUAGAUAUCAGUUUUCUGAAAAUCUAGUAGAAUUGCAGGGUCAACUGGGGAUGAUUACAUGCUUAAGGAAGCUUAAUGUACAGAAGGCUACUCUGCUAAAAAAACCUUCCUGAUAUUGGUCAGCUCUCAAAGUUAGAAUAUCUUGAUUUUAGUGGCUGUUGUGACAUAUUGACCAUUGCAGAACUUCCUCCACAUCUGUUGGAGUUACUGGCAGAAUAGUGUCCGUCUUUGCAAAUUAUUACCAAAUCUAUUUCAUUCAAAACACGUUAAGGAUUGGUGUUCAGUUGUUUUAGUGCUUUGAUAGAAAUUCAAGGCUUGGGGGAACUCAUGUAUUUGGUAGAUCUUGCUAUUGAUACUGUGGAGAUCUGCUGUCCAUUCCAGAACUGGCUCCUAAUUUGAAAUCAAUAAUGAUUGUAUAGGAAGAUUACCAGACUUGGCCAAUUUGACACAGUUGAAAACGUUGGACCUUUCAUAUUGUAGUGGUUUGACAGAGAUUUAAGGCUUGGAAGAGCUCA